rnacentral:rRNA from 1 species
AUUGAACGCUGGCGGCAUGCCUUACACAUGCAAGUCGAACGGCAGCACGGGUGCUUGCACCUGGUGGCGAGUGGCGAACGGGUGAGUAAUACAUCGGAACGUACCUUAUCGUGGGGGAUAACGCAGCGAAAGCUGUGCUAAUACCGCAUACGCCCUGAGGGGGAAAGCGGGGGAUCGAAAGACCUCGCGCGAUUAGAGCGGCCGAUGCCUGAUUAGCUUGUUGGUGGGGUAAAAGCCCACCAAGGCGACGAUCAGUAGCUGGUCUGAGAGGACGAUCAGCCACACUGGGACUGGGACACGGCCCAGACUCCUACGGGAGGCAGCAGGGGGGAAUUUUGGACAAUGGGGGAAACCCUGAUCCAGCAAUGCCGCGUGAGUGAAGAAGGCCUUCGGGUUGUAAAGCUCUUUUGUCAGGGAAGAAACACCGGCUCUAACACAGUCCGGGAAUGACGGUACCUGAAGAAUAAGCACCGGCUAACUACGUGCCAGCCGCCGCGGUAA